rnacentral:rRNA from 2 species
UACAACUUUCAACAACGGAUCUCUUGGUUCUGGCAUCGAUGAAGAACGCAGCGAAAUGCGAUAAGUAGUGUGAAUUGCAGAAUUCAGUGAAUCAUCGAAUCUUUGAACGCACAUUGCGCCCUUUGGUAUUCCAAAGGGCAUGCCUGUUCGAGCGUCAUUU